rnacentral:rRNA from 1 species
GAUGAACGCUCGCUACAGGCUUAACACAUGCAAGUCGAGGGGAAACGAUGAGAGAGCUUGCUCUCUUAGUCGUCGACCGGCGCACGGGUGAGUAACGCGUAUCCAACCUGCCUCUGACCAAGGGAUAACCCGUCGAAAGUCGGACUAAUACCUUAUGCAGUCGUCGGAAGUCAUCUGAUGACGACGAAAGAUUUCAUCGGUGAGAGAUGGGGAUGCGUCUGAUUAGCUUGUUGGCGGGGUAACGGCCCACCAAGGCGACGAUCAGUAGGGGUUCUGAGAGGAAGGUCCCCCACAUGGGAACUGAGACACGGUCCAAACUCCUACGGGAGGCAGCAGUGAGGAAUAUUGGUCAAUGGGCGUAAGCCUGAACCAGCCAAGUAGCGUGCAGGAUGACGGCCCUAUGGGUUGUAAACUGCUUUUAUGCGGGGAUAAAGUGAGGGACGUGUCCUUCAUUGCAGGUACCGCAUGAAUAAGGACCGGCUAAUUCCGUG